GCUUACCACCACACCGGCCUGAGUACGCCUGAUCUCGUCUGAUCUCGGAAGCUAAGCAGGGUCGGGCCUGGUUAGUACUUGGAUGGGAGACUUCCUGGGAAUACCAGGUGCUGUAAGCU
ensembl:rRNA 5S_rRNA 5S ribosomal RNA